CAAGUCCUGGGCUGAGGACAUUCCUGUUGGAAACAGGCCUGGAAGCAGAGAAGUAAGAAGGCCUCUUUGGGAACUCUGCAAAACUACAGUGGGAGAUGGCAGAAUUUCAGCAUGGGGCCAGAAGAGCUGCCCAGGACUCCUGGCCUUCCUUCUGCUGGGACCUGGGGAGUGAGGACACAGCCACUCAGCAUGGGGUAGCAGGGGAACAGGCCAAGUCACCCCACCCUGGAAAUGUUGGCAGGAGCUGAUCUUGGAGAAGGGUGGGCCACAGGCGUCAACGUGGCAGACGCCAGCGAACAAGCCCAGGCUUGCCACAUCCUCUGUGUUGACAGUCACAUGAGAACGAGUCACCAGUUUUCUGAGAAACAGGAAGGGUGCGGCUUGGGUGCAGCCCUGCCUGCAGAUGCCACCUUAAAGAGACGGGGACAAAUCUUUCCACAUACUUCUCCCUCCUGGUUGCUAAGGGAGCCUGGUGUCACAGGGAGUUUUGUUUGGGGUGUGGGUGGUGACCCUGGGGGGGUGACUUCCAGGCAAUAGUUCUGCCAGAUGCCUUUGCUAUUCUGGUCACUUGGACUGUCCUUCACCUUCUCCCUUGGGGGAGGGGCAAGGCCGGACAGACGCCUCAUGGGGUCUCAGGCUGUCUUCCCCCUCACCCUGAGCCCACGCUGGCACAGGGGGUGCCAAGUACCCCUUUCAAAAUCCUCACUAAACGCCUUGGCCCUGCUCAGCCUUGGCAGAGGGGACAAGAAAUCCGCAAGUUACUUCAGGACCCUCCCCUGGCGGGCAGCCAGCCUGGUGCCACCAGCAGUCAUUAAGCCCACUUUCUGAGGCCCAUCACAGGCCACGAACUGCCACCGACAAAUGCAGGUUUUGGGGAUUUUGUUUUCUUUUUAAUCACUUUUCGCACCAUUCCUCGUCUAAAACUAAGAUGAGUUGAGACUCUAACCCACUUGGCCUUGUGGCCCUGCAAUUACACCUAUUUUCCGCAAGAAACCUUUUCCCAAUUCAUUUCCACCCCAGCUGCAAGGUUUUCCGCUCUUAGCAAACACCCGGACGCUCCAGGACCCCCGCCUCCAGCUGGCAGGCGGCCCUGGCCCAGCUUCACAUUCUCCCCCAGUCGGUCCAGCCAUUUGUUAAAUAACAAAGCGGGGUUCUUAGCCUGUCACCCCAGGGUCGCACUCCGCGCUGAGGGACACUGCGUUUCUCUCUAGAGAGUCGC